rnacentral:rRNA from 1 species
UACGGAGGGUGCAAGCGUUAUUCGGAAUUAUUGGGGGUAAAGGGCGUGUAGGCGGCCAGAUAAGUCAGAGGAGAAAGCCCGGGGCUCAACCCCGGAAGUGCCUUUGAAACUAUUUGGCUUGAGUGCGGGAGAGGAAAGCGGAAUUCCCAGUGUAGAGGUGAAAUUCGUAGAUAUUGGGAGGAACACCGGUGGCGAAGGCGGCUUUCUGGACCGACACUGACGCUGAGGCGCGAAAGCGUGGGGAGCAAACAGG